AGACGAUGCCAUGAGGAAGUCGGGUUCGGCUCACAACAAGUCCAGCAGUGACAUGGAAAACCACGUCUAUGGCAAAGCUAAGUCCAGGGAGGAGUACUUAUCUCUGGUGGCCAGACUCAUCAUUCACUUCAGAGACAUUC